UAUCGGUAUGGGAUGGGGUCGCGUCCUAUCAGCUUGAUGGCGGGGUAACGGCCCACCAUGGCUUCGACGGGUAGCCGGCCUGAGAGGGCGACCGGCCACAUUGGGACUGAGAUACGGCCCAGACUCCUACGGGAGGCAGCAGUGGGGAAUAUUGCACAAUGGGCGCAAGCCCGAUGCAGCGACGCCGCGUGCGGGAUGACGGCCUUCGGGUUGUAAACCGCUUUUGACUGGGAGCAAGCCCUUCGGGGUGAGUGUACCUUUCGAAUAAGCACCGGCUAACUACGUGCCAGCAGCCGCGGUAAUACGUAGGGUGCAAGCGUUAUCCGGAAUUAUUGGGCGUAAAGGGCUCGUAGGCGGUUCGUCGCGUCCGGUGUGAAAGUCCAUCGCUUAACGGUGGAUCCGCGCCGGGUACGGGCG
rnacentral:rRNA from 1 species